GCCUCUCAGCCAUCUGUUAUUCCUCCUACCUACUUGCUUUUGGAGAUUAGGAGGUCAUCUACGGUGAAGCCAGUUCCAUGAUGUGUGGAACACAAGGAACACAAGGAAUUACUGCCUUUAAGAAUAAUUUUUCAUAGCUUUCAUUCAAUUUGAUACUUUCCCAUUGAUUUACAAUUUGUAAGUCUAGCUAUUUGACUUCAUCCUGAGAGUAUCUUGGUCAGCCUGAGUAAACAAUGACAAGAGGCUCAGGUGUUCUGGUGGCCUCCAGUUUGAAGUCUGGAAGAUGUAUGUCUGGACAGCUGUGUGCAAAACCUUCUGUACAUGAAGAUCAGCAUAUCCUCAAAUGAUAUAAUAAGUAAAACCAGAAGAAUAAUGAAGAAAAAUGACAGGCUCAUGGAAGGGAAUAAACAAGUGGGUGGAAGGUAGGCACAAAUAAAAGGAAAAGAGCCUUGGACAACGGAUCCUAAGCAAAGAUUUGCAUGUGAUGAGAAUAAUUGGAAUUUUACAAUUGUGAAGAAACAUCCUGAAGUUAUUCACAGUGACUUCAAUGAACACCACAUCAGUAAACUUUUUACACAGGGGACAAAAGUAAAAGCCGGCUUGAUCAUUCAUUUACAAGGCUUUCACCAUGCCGCUGAGACGUCAAGGACUACAAGUUGUCUUCAGCUUCUCAGGCCUCGAAGCCUUUUGCGUCUUCGGUUGACUCCAGCAUUUUGACUGAUGGGAGCUGGUGUGUGUCUGUGUGCAGUGGGAGAAAGAUCAUCAUCUUGAACCUGACACAGCCUGUGCCUGGAGCAGCCUGCGCCUGCUGCCCUCAAUCAUUUGGGUAUAUACAAUGAACCUCACCUGAAACAAUGUUUGUACAAUCGCUAAUGCCAGUGGCUAAUCUUUCCUAUUUGCCUGCUUUAUCUCAACACUGUCAUCUAUUGAGGUGAACAUCAAUAUUCAAAUAACAAUAACAAAAGAUCCUGUCAUCAAAGUGGAACUAAAUGAGUAUUUUAGAUUAUUUUAAAUAAUUUGGCCUAUAAAAAUAAAAAAAAAGCUCUGCCUAUAAUUUAACCAAGAUUUUUAAAUAUAGUGACCUAACCCUCUGCCAACUAUUAAUUAGCUUGAUGCUAACUCUAAAUCCCAGAUAGAAGGUGGGGGUGGGGGAAAGUUCCCCAAAUGACAAGUCUAUUGCAGGCAGUCUUCUAAAAGAACCCUCAGUGUUAGCAGAUAAUGAAAGUACAUGUUACCUAUGACUGAGCAGAAACGAUGCCAUGACCUGGCAAUUUCUUUUCACUGCUGACACAUCCCUGCACUGCACAAAAUAUCAGUGUUGCCUUCAUGUAAAUUUAAUAGGGUUUCUCUGUCAAUGACAUAAGCAAAUACACCAUGAGAAGCAGCAGGGGUUUUCAGGGAUGGCUCAGAAACUUAAGUAUUUUUCCAUUUAUUUUUAAAAUGCAAAUUACACUAGUAAGUCAAAAAAAUCACUCUGUUAAAAAUACAUUCAGAAUUAACAAAUGCAAAAAAAAGGACACAUCAGGAUCAUAACCCUUGCCUUCUGAA